CCUACGGGAGGCAGCAGUGAGGAAUAUUGGUCAAUGGCCGUAAGGCUGAACCAGCCAAGUAGCGUGAGGGAAGACUGCCCUAUGGGUUGUAAACCUCUUUUAUGCGGGGACAAAGGUGUCCACGUGUGGAUGUUUGCAGGUACCGCAUGAAUAAGCAUCGGCUAAUUCCGUGCCAGCAGCCGCGGUAAUACGGAAGGUCCGGGCGUUAUCCGGAUUUAUUGGGUUUAAAGGGAGCGUAGGCCGGAGUUGAAGGGUGCCGUGAAAUUUUGUGGCUCAACCAUGGGAGUGCGGUGCAAACUGGAGCCCUUGAGUGCGCGAAAGGUAGGCGGAAUGCGUGGUGUAGCGGUGAAAUGCUUAGAUAUCACGCAGAACCCCGAUUGCGAAGGCAGCCUGCCGGCGCGUAACUGACGCUGAUGCUCGAAAGCGCGGGUAUCGAACAGGAUUAGAUACCCUUGUAGUC
rnacentral:rRNA from 1 species